rnacentral:rRNA from 1 species
GAGACGGGAUGGAAUGACCCUUCGGGGGAAUGAAAUCCUAGAAAGUGGCGAACGGGUGAGUAACGCGUGGGUAACCUGCCCUAUGGAAAGGAAUAGCCUCGGGAAACUGGGAGUAAUGCCUUAUAAUAUACGAGAGUCGCAUGGCUUUUGUAUUAAACGCUCCGGUGCCAUAGGAUGGACCCGCGUCCCAUUAGCUAGUUGGUGAGAUAACAGCCCACCAAGGCAACGAUGGGUAACCGGUCUGAGAGGGCGAACGGUCACACUGGAACUGAGACACGGUCCAGACUCCUACGGGAGGCAGCAGUGGGGAAUAUUGCGCAAUGGGGGCAACCCUGACGCAGCAAUACCGCGUGAGUGAAGAAGGUUUUCGGAUCGUAAAGCUCUGUUAUUGGGGAAGAAAAAAGACGGUACCCAAGAAGAAAGUCCCGGCUAACUACGUGCCAGCAGCCGCGGUAAUAC